AUUUUUAUAUAUUGUAAAUUGAUAAAAAUAUAUUCUAUCUCUUACAUUUAAAGAGGAAAAAAUAUGUCUGAAAUUGUCAAAUUUAUUUAUCUUAUGAUUAUCUUUCUUUCACUAUUUAUUGUUGCAAUGAACGCCAAUGCAUUUUCUAUAUGUCAAAACAAUUCUGAUUGUAAAGAUCAGGAAAUAUGCUUGCCUCCUAAAAAACAUUGGUGCAAUAAGAUUGUGCCAGUUAUGAUCGAGGAAACAAUGGUAGGUAAUUGUGAAUGUAUUUGAGUUAAUGUACCCGUAAGAUUCUGCUAGAAAUUUCCAUAAGUUUUUAUUUAUUAAUUGUGUAGGAACCCAAUAAUUUAUAUUUUCUUCCUUUUAUAAUUUCAUGGAGCAUAAAAAUAAUUGUGAUUUUGUACUAAAUAAUAUGAUUGUAAAGUUAUGAAAUAGGGAUGUAAUGAAUAAUGUUUAGAUUUUUUUCUUCUCUCUUUA